UAUAUGGUAGUGCGAUGCAUGCAAUUUCAAAAAUUUUAAGCAGUGAAACUAUAAGAUUAAAUAAUUUAAUCUAAAUUAAAUACAUAAAAUUUAAUCUAGACUAUCAUGUCAAAAUAAAUAAUAUGAUUUAAUAUGUACAUGAGAUUUGAAAAUAAAACUUGCAUCGAUCUGAUCGAUGCCGUAAUUCUAUAUCUAACUAUUAGAUUUGUUGGUACAGAAUUUCGUCGAUGUUGGAGAAGCUGG
rnacentral:lncRNA from 1 species